rnacentral:rRNA from 1 species
GAUGAACGCUGGCGGCGUGCCUAAUACAUGCAAGUCGAGCGAACAGACGAGGAGCUUGCUCCUCUGACGCUAGCGGCGGACGGGUGAGUAACACGUGGAUAACCUACCUAUAAGACUGGGAUAACUUCGGGAAACCGGAGCUAAUACCGGAUAAUAUAUUGAACCGCAUGGUUCAAUAGUGAAAGACGGUUUUGCUGUCACUUAUAGAUGGAUCCGCGCCGCAUUAGCUAGUUGGUAAGGUAACGGCUUACCAAGGCAACGAUGCGUAGCCGACCUGAGAGGGUGAUCGGCCACACUGGAACUGAGACACGGUCCAGACUCCUGCGGGAGGCAGCAGUAGGGAAUCUUCCGCAAUGGGCGAAAGCCUGACGGAGCAACGCCGCGUGAGUGAUGAAGGUCUUCGGAUCGUAAAACUCUGUUAUUAGGGAAGAACAAAUGUGUAAGUAACUAUGCACGUCUUGACGGUACCUAAUCAGAAAGCCACGGCUAACUACGUG